CUAAACAAAAUCAGAGAGAGUCUAACUUACCACGCUUACGCAGUCAAGACGUCAUACACUUUUAGGUCUUGUUUUCCGCAAUGCGAAACGUAAAGAAAGCAAUUUAGGGUCUACAGUAUUCUCAAGAAACCUAACAAUCAACGUGGUAACUAUUAAGUUCCUAACAAUAUUGAUAGUUGGUAAAUUGUGACCUAAUUAUUGUGUUACUACAUACCCACAGCGGGGUGUCCCUAUAAUUUUGUCCAAGUCUGUCCAUGUAGCCAUACAAUUAAUAACGCUUAAGUAAAUUCAAAUUGGAAACCAUUGCUAAGCAAUCAGUUUUAUGCACAUUAUUUUUAAUCAGUCUGUUUGUAAUUCAUGCAAACAACUCUUGUUGGCGGUUAGUGGAAAGCAAUGUCAAUCUUACAGAGUCUUUUGUAAUGGAAGAAUGUUACUUAGUAACCCCAGAUUUUAGCUGCAUAGUAGCUAUUGAAAACAACAUACUAGAAUUCUCUAAUUGUCCAUGUAUAAGUGCAUGCACCACACACAAAUGUGUGGUUAUAGUGAACAUGUAGCUUGUCUUUAGGAUGAUUUAUUGCUCAAUAGUAGUGCAUAGUCAUUUGUUGAGAGCACACAAAAAGAAGCCAAAAAUACAUGCCUUGACUGUGGGGCUCAGUAUAAGACACAGCAAACAGUAAAACGACACAUGAAUAACAACAUGAUGCUGGCUACGAGAAAGAUAUUAGGCAUAAAUGCAUGGUUGAAGAAUGUGGUUUGAAAUUUAUGCAAGUGAAAGUCUAACAGAACACAUGGUGUCACAUCAUAACAUGGACAUGGGUAUGUUGUACUUUCACUCUAUAUUCAUGUCAGAGAUAAUGCCAUGUGAACGUAUUUGUACCAUCCACAGGAAUACAUGAACUUGAAUUCAAUAGCAGUGAUGAAUUUUUUGAGUGCAAAAAGGAGGAAGAGAGGAAGACAUGCACAUACUACAGAAGAGAGAGGUCAAAGAAGCCAACCCAAGGAAACCAAGAAUGCAAAAACGGAAACAAUUUGUCUCUCCAAGAUCAACGCAAAAUUUUAUCCAAACAGCAAAGUCAACGAUGGUAUGUGAGUGGACACACCAAUCACUCGCCAAAUCUAUCCGAAAUGCCAUACAUCCCCUUACCAGAUGAUAUCAAAGACAUUGUUUCACAAAAGCUGGCAAUGGAAGUGAUAGUAGAGAGAAUUCUUGACGAUAUAUUGACUGGUGUUGGAGAUGGAGCAGAGAGACACAAUUUUAACAGCAUAGCACAGAGAGAGCAUUCAUAACACGGCAGGACAUUAGGAAUAUUUCCAAGUCAGUUGUAGAUAUGUCUGCAGCGAACCAUGCCAAUGAUGCAGUCUGUUGUUGCAAUUGUGAAAAAACUAGCCAGUGAGCAAUAUAACGCCGUCUUGUUGCACAAACCGUUUGGCGUGAAGGAUGAUAAUUUUCCUGAAUUGCCAGAAGAGUCAUUCAUGUUAGUGAUUCAGACAGAGCAUCAGAAAGAGCUCUUUGAAAAAUUCAGUUCUGGAGUGGUUUGUGUUGACUCAACGCACAACACAAAUCUAUACAACUAUAAACUUUUACCCUGAUGAUCAGAGAUGAUCAUGGUCAAGACAAUGCUGCAUGGACUGCAGCUAAGGCUGGAUUUGGAAACGACAAGAAACAUCUCCUAUGCAGAUGUUAUGUUGACAGAAACUUUAGGAAGAAUUUGUAUGCAAAAGUAAAAAACAAACUUUAUCAGGUUGCUCUGUACCAAGGCUUGUGCUUCAUCCUAAGUGAAACAGGCAGAACAAAAUUUCAUGGGUACAUGAAUUCUUUUAUUUAUACAUGGCUGUGAAAAGAACCCAGCUUCACUGAUUAUUUCAAGACACACUACAGCUACAGGCCAGAGGUGUGGGCAAUGGCAUACUAAGAUUACGAUUAUGUUGGCACAGACACAAACAUGGUUGUGGAAAAUUUCCACAGCAAACUGAACAGACAUCCCUCUUAUUUGACAAACAUCUCUAAUAGACAAAUAGAUCAUUUGGUCAAUGUUCUUCUAACAAUGGAAGAAGACCAAUGCCUUGAUGUACAGAAAACAACGCUGGCAUAAACACAAUCCUAGCACAAAACAAGAAGAGACACGACAUGACCAGGAAUUCUGAUCAAUGAGGCAGAGGUGGAGGAAUGUGAAGGAAACGUCUGGAAUGUUCAAUCUCAAUUAAAGGCUGAAAUCAUUUACCAUGUUAAACAGCUUCACCCAUGUUGUCUCAACUGCAUUUGUGCAUCUUUCACAUGUGCCAUCUGUGGCUGCUGUUGGCACAUGUUUCAGUGUAGCUGCUACGACUUUGCAACAGGGCACCUAUGCAAACAUAUCCACAAAGUGUGUGCAAAACAUUGUCUAACUGCUUGUGUGGCAACAUUACCAGAUACAAGUGCCAAUGAAACUGAUGUAAAAUAAAGUUCUCAUCUCAAAGUUGUGAUACCACAAGCAGAAGACAUCACUAGAAGGGUUGAAGGUAGCACUACAUUAUGACAGACAGCAAAAACAAUGCCAUGUCUAAUAAACACACUGACUGAUUAACUUCAUGUCUACCAUCUACUAAACAAUUAAACUCAUACGAGUACUUACAGAACUAGUAAAUGUAAGAUGUCAUUAUACGACUUGCAGAACAUGCA